rnacentral:rRNA from 1 species
AGCCAAAGACGGGUAGCGGGUGUGAGAGCACGGCCCGCCGCAUCGGGACUGAGACACUGUCCGGACUCCUACGGGAGUGCUUGCAGUAACGAAUAUUCCGCAAUGCGCGAAAUCGUGACGGAGCAAUGCCGCGUGCAGGAUGAAGCCCCUCGGGGUGUAAACUGCUGUCAGUGAGUCAGCAACCCAAUGAGCAACUCCAGAGGAAGGACCGGCUAACUUCGUGCCAGCAGCCGCUGUGUAAUACGAAGGGUCCAAGCGUUAAUCGGAAUCACUGGGCUUAGAGGGUGCGUAGGCGGACUGGCCAGUGCCUUGUGAAAUCCCACGGCUCAACCGUGGAAUUGCUCGGCAUACUGCCAGUCUUGAGGUCGGUAGAGGGUGCCGGAACUCUAGGUGGAGCGGUGAAAUGCGUAGAUAUCUAGAGGAACGUCUAAGGCGAAGGCAGGCACCUGGUCCGAUUCUGACGCUGAGGCACGAAAGCGUGGGGAGCGAACGGGAUUAGAUACCCCGGUAGUCCACGCCCUAAACUAUGUGCACUAGAUUGUGGGGCUUUUGACGCCCGCACAAUCGAAGCUAAAGUGAUUAGUGCACCGCCUGGGGAGUACGGUCGCAAGCCUUAAACUCAAAGGAAUUGACGGGGGCUCACACAAGCGGUGGAGCAUGUGGCUUAAUUCGAAGCUACGCGAAGAACCGUUAUCCAGGGUUUGACAUGUACGGAUUAGCUCGGCGAAAAUCGAGUGACGC